rnacentral:rRNA from 1 species
UACAGAGGUCUCAAGCGUUGUUCGGAUUCAUUGGGCGUAAAGGGUGUGUAGGUGGCGCGCUAAGUCGGGUGUGAAAUUUCGGAGCUUAACUCCGAAACUGCAUUCGAUACUGGCGUGCUUGAGGACUGGAGAGGAGACUGGAAUUUACGGUGUAGCGGUGAAAUUCGUAGAUAUCGGGAGGAACACCGGUGGCGAAGGCGGCGACCUGGGUAGAUACUGACGCUGAGGCGCGAAAGCGUGGGGAGCAACAGG